rnacentral:misc_RNA from 1 species
CUUUUUGAUCCCAAAAAGAUGAAAAUAGAGCAAAAAGCAAUAGAUAACUAAUCUGAACUUGUCUACUAACUAACCUGAAUUUACAAAUCAAAAUCAAUAGGUGGUCUAACAUGAUUCUAUCAUGCAUAUGCUACCUUAAGACACGAAAAUAUUACAAGUGCUUAAGCCCAUGACAGCACAUGCAGAUGCUAUCCUCGUAAGAAAGGGGAAAAAAUGCUUAGACAAAUUUAGAUGCUUGAAAUUGGACUCCUCCAUCUGGUCCAAUCAUUCCCUUUUCAUCUACAACAUUCGGAAAUGCAGUGCACCAUCAUUAAUCUGGCUUCUUCAGGUUCAAGCAAUUAUCUGUUGCUUGGCUAAACAGCUCCUGGACCUGCUUCAAUUCUUUCUCUGCAGCUUCCAGUUGCCUUUGGAGUUCUUGGCCUACCGCAUCAUUUUCAGCCUGCAGUUCCGCAAUCCUUUUCAGUUGAGCUUCUUCACCUCCCUCGGCUAAUGGAAGUGCUGCCACCAAAGCAUCAAACUGCUUAGCAGCCUUUACAAGCGCAGCACUCAUCAACUUAGGUUGAUCUGCAAAAUCUUCAGUAGGGUUAGCUGGUGGUUCAGGGUAAUUUGGAGAGAGACGCACUGGAGGAGCAUCUCUUUGCAGCGUCCCAAUUGUAUUAAAAGCAAGUGAAGCAAUUAAAUCCACUUGCUCUUGCAAUUGAGAAAUUAUGUCCAUCUUUCUUAUACC